rnacentral:rRNA from 1 species
GGAGUUUGGUCCGUGUCUCAGUACCAAUGUGGGGGACCUUCCUCUCAGAACCCCUACUGAUCGACGGCUUGGUGGGCCGUUACCCCGCCAACAACCUAAUCAGACGCAUCCCCAUCCCUUAGCGAUAAAUCUUUGAUUCACUUCAGAUGUCCUCGACGAAUAACAUAGGGGAUUAAUCCGACUUUCGCCGGGCUAUGCCCUACUAAGGGGAAGGGUUGGAUACGCGUUACUCACCCGUGCGCCGGUCGCCAUCAAUCAAAGACAAGCUUUGUAUCAUGCUGCCCCUCGACUUGCAUGUGUUAAGCCUCG